rnacentral:rRNA from 1 species
CAUUCGACUUUCCGCCCUAUCAACUUUGGAUGGUAGUGUAGUGGACCACCAUGGUUGUAACGGGUGACGGGGAAUUAGGGUUCGAUUCCGGAGAGGGAGCCUGAGAGAUGGCUACUACUUCCAAGGAAGGCAGCAGGCGCGCAAAUUACCCUAAUGGUCAAAGACCGAGGUAGUGACAAUAAAUAUCGAUGUUGGUGAUUCGUCAUUGACAAUCGGAAUGAACUGAAGUUAAAUCUCUCUAUGAGUACCAAUUGGAGGGCAAGUCUGGUGCCAGCAGCCGCGGUAAUUCCAGCUCCAAGAGCGUAUAUUCAACUUGCUGCAGUUAAAAAGCUCGUAGUCGGAUUUCAGUAUUUUUGAUUGGGGUGUGUGACGCAAGUUACACGCUUCUUUCAUGGUACUAUCAUGUUUGUGUUGCUUCCUGUCCUUCACUGGGUGGGUUAUUUACCUUACAUCGUUGACCGUGCUUUAAUUCGCGUGUUCAAAGCAGGCUUUUACGCCUUGAAGAGUAUAGCAUGGGAUCAUGAAAUAUGACCCUGCCUCACGUUGGUUGACUUUGGAGGCAGGGUAAUGAUAAAUAGGGGUGGUCGGGGGUGUACGGAUUCCGUGGCGAGAGGUGAAAUUCUUGGACCCACGGAGGACGAACUAAAGCGAAAGCAUUCACCAAGGACAUACCCAUUGAUCAAGAACGAAAGAUAGGGGAUCGAAGAUGAUCAGAGACCGUUGUAGUCCUAUCCCUAAACGAUACCGACCGAGGAUCGGAGGGUGUCCAUUUGUGCGACCUCUUCGGGACUCUGUGGAAAACCAUUGAGUCUUUGGGUUCCGGGGGGAGUACGGUCGCAAGGCUGAAACUUAAAGGAAUUGACGGAAGGGCACACCAGGAGUGGAUCCUGCGGCUUAAUUCGACCCAACACGGGAAAACUCACCAGGUCCGACAUAACAAGGAUUGACAGAUCGAUAGCUCUUUCUUGAUUUUAUGAGUGGUGGUGCAUGGCCGUUCUUAGUUGGUGGAGUGAUUUGUCUGGUUGAUUCCGAUAACGAACGAGACCUCAACCUGCUAAAUAGGAAAAAUGAUGGGGGAAUCAUGGGUGAAGGGGGGGACGUAGAAUGGCUUCGGUUGUUCUCAUCCUUUUUGGAUCCUUUUUCCAUCGUUUUCGCCUUCUUAGAGGGACUGACUGCUUUACAAGCAGUAGGAAGCUUGAGGCAAUAACAGGUCUGUGAUGCCCUUGGAUGUUCUGGGCUGCACGCGCGCUACACUGACUGAAGCAGAAAGUUUAUCCUUGGCCUUUAGGUCUGGGUAAUCUUAUUAAAUUCAGUCGUGAUGGGGACAGAGCUUUGAAAUUAUGGCUCUCGAACGAGGAAUUCCUAGUAAGUGCAAUUCAUCAAAUUGCGCUGAUUACGUCCCUGCCCUUUGUACACACCGCCCGUCGCUCCUACCGAUUGAACGAUCCGGUGAAGUAUUGAGAGAGAU